rnacentral:lncRNA from 1 species
CGCCUGCCCCGCGCCACCCAGCGCAUCCCUGCGGGACCCGGAUCCGGGUCCUUCAUUGCGAACUGCCAGGAGGGCCCAGAGUUGACGCCUCUUUCGGACAAGUGUCGUAAAGCAUUUGAGAGAAUGCUUGUCACCGGACAGCCCGCCUCUGGCACGACGUGAAGCCUUGCGGUCACUUGGGAAGGAAGGAGAAAGAGACAGGCUGCUGGUACGAACGCCGUCAGCAGCACGGGUAGCUCAGGUCCGAGGGAACCGGUUGCAAACCAAGGUGUUGGGCUUGGGAAGAACCCAUCCGCCUGGGACUGCAGGCAUAUGACCCCUAAUUAAAGUUGGCUUGGUCUUCUAAAAUAAAUCAAUGGGAAGAACGGGCUGCGAGUGUGGA